UGUAAUCUAUUUCAAUUUCAAGUCUCCACAGCUUCCACCGUUCUUCUCAGAUACUGUAAUUCCACCUUCGUAACAAGCGACAGAAGGAUUGACUGCUAGAUUUGAGGUGUGAUGUGCGACGGGUGUCGUUUGGCCGCCGGUAUCCGUAUUUCAGUUUUCGCCUCCCUCUCCCGAACCAGAGCACCACUGAUUUAACAUGCCAAAAUCAGAGAUGUCGAUCCUUCUUCAAAAAGCAGACGAUGCUUUCUCCACAACUUCCUCUACCGGUGCAACUACAGUUAUGCUUCCAGUGGCAAUGUAGCUAGGUUCGAUCUAAUGUAGCAGGAUGCUGAUCAAUUUGUUGAUGUAAGCCCUAAUUUCUUUUCAAUUUUGGGUUUUGGAAAGCAUAAUCUUUGCUAUGGACUGAUGAUUGUUCCUAUAUUAAUAUAUGGUCUUAUUUUUCUUUUUUGAGAUUGUCUAAAACUCCCAUAUUUGGCUUUUACCUGUUUUCGAUAUGCUUUAAAUCUCAUCGACUCUUAACUGUGUUUGUGGUAGCUAGCAUAGUCAGGUGAAUCUGUGAUGUAGAUGAAAGGAACAUAAACAGAUAGAGGUGCGGGAUCAUCAAUGUGAACGGAAAGAUUGGUCCACUUACAUUUCAAAGAAAAUAUCAACCACAUCUUUUAUGGACACUUGAACAUGUUAAAAAGAACACAGAAGACCAAACACAUCAAAAUGUAGAUGCUCGGUCAAAGGCCAGUUUGAUGGUGUUGCAGCUGAGCCUAGAAAGAGAAUAAGAAGUGGCCAUGUGCCUGGGAUCAAGUGCAUUCCUUUUGCUCAGGGAAUCAUAAAUCGUCUGUAAAUGAGAGUAAAAAAAAUAAGGGCAAAUUUGUAAAAAAGUUGGGAAUAAUGUGGAAAAGUAAAAACCUCAUUUUCCUGACCUACUUUUUUAUUUAAUCAAAGCGUUCUGUCUGCAUUAAGUAAAAACUAAACACCUAUAUAUUUUUAUAAAUGUUUCUUGGUUUUGUUGAUUCUUACAAGAGGCUCAAUUAAAGUCAUUAAGUUUUUAUAAAAAGAAGUAGAAAAGGAAACCAUACAUGAUUGUAAUUAGGUGAAAACUCAAAUUUACCUUGACAUGCUCAAUAUCUUCCUCAAUAACACAACAUGUAUAUUCAUCAUAUUAAUUGCGUCCUAUCAGUUUUCUCCUCAUGCGAUUGAGAUUCUACAUUUUUUUUUGGAACGGAUAUUGGAUGUGUAGGCCUUAAUUUUGGAAUUCUUUUGUCCAAUUGGUGCCUAAUCCACUUGAACUUGACAAUUUUGCCCUUGACCAAUCUAACAAGGACGAAAAGGUAACCAUUAAUAUCGAUAAAGUUCUUCACAUUUCUUUGUUUAAUACUUUAUAUCCCAAUGGCUAUAUGAUGCCUAACAAUUUUUGAAAGUUGAAGUGUGUGUGGUUGUAUGGAUGCGUAUGUAAGCUGAUUUUUUUGGCAUAUUCAAAAGAUCUAUUGUUAACCAGAAAUGAAGGGCAUGGACAAUUAACGAAAUUAAGAAAUAGCAAUGUACAUUCAUUAUUUUAUACAAUACUGCCACAUAUUUGGCUAUUAUACGUUUCUAAAUGGGUGAAUUGUAGAGAGAAUAGCAACAUACUUUACUAUGGCUACCAAUUCAGACAAUGUACUAUACUUUCACACAAAACCAAGAAACAUUUAUAAAAAAGUAUGUAUAUUUUUGUU